rnacentral:rRNA from 1 species
AUUGAACGCUGGCGGCAUGGCUAAUGCAUGCAAGUCGAACGAAAGCCCUUCGGGGCGAAAGUGGCGAAAGGGCGAGUAAUACGAUCGAACGUACCCCAAGGUGGAGGAUAGUGUCGGGAAACUGACGGUAAUACUCCAUGUGCUCUUCGGAGGAAAGCUUUGGCGCCUCGGGAGCGGCGAUCGUCCUAUCAGGUAGUUGGUGAGGUAAUGGCUCACCAAGCCGAAGACGGGUAGCGGGUGUGAGAGCAUGACCCGCCGCAUCGGGACUGAGACACUGCCCGGACUCCUACGGGAGGCUGCAGCGACGAAUCUUCCGCAAUGGGCGCAAGCCUGACGGAGCAAUGCCGCGUGUGGGAC